AGAGUUUGAUCCUGGCUCAGGACGAACGCUGGCGGCGCGCCUAACACAUGCAAGUCGAACGAGAGAGAAGGAGCUUGCUUCUUCGAUCGAGUGGCGAACGGGUGAGUAACGCGUGAGGAACCUGCCUCAAAGAGGGGGACAACAGUUGGAAACGACUGCUAAUACCGCAUAAGCCCACGGGUCGGCAUCGACCAGAGGGAAAAGGAGCAAUCCGCUUUGAGAUGGCCUCGCGUCCGAUUAGCUAGUUGGUGAGGUAACGGCCCACCAAGGCGACGAUCGGUAGCCGGACUGAGAGGUUGAACGGCCACAUUGGGACUGAGACACGGCCCAGACUCCUACGGGAGGCAGCAGUGGGGAAUAUUGCACAAUGGGGGAAACCCUGAUGCAGCGACGCCGCGUGGAGGAAGAAGGUCUUCGGAUUGUAAACUCCUGUUGUUGAGGAAGAUAAUGACGGUACUCAACAAGGAAGUGACGGCUAACUACGUGCCAGCAGCCGCGGUAAAACGUAGGUCACAAGCGUUGUCCGGAAUUACUGGGUGUAAAGGGAGCGCAGGCGGGAAGACAAGUUGGAAGUGAAAUCCAUGGGCUCAACCCAUGAACUGCUUUCAAAACUGUUUUUCUUGAGUAGUGCAGAGGUAGGCGGAAUUCCCGGUGUAGCGGUGGAAUGCGUAGAUAUCGGGAGGAACACCAGUGGCGAAGGCGGCCUACUGGGCACCAACUGACGCUGAGGCUCGAAAGUGUGGGUAGCAAACAGGAUUAGAUACCCUGGUAGUCCACACCGUAAACGAUGAUUACUAGGUGUUGGAGGAUUGACCCCUUCAGUGCCGCAGUUAACACAAUAAGUAAUCCACCUGGGGAGUACGACCGCAAGGUUGAAACUCAAAGGAAUUGACGGGGGCCCGCACAAGCAGUGGAAGUAUGUGGGUUUAAUUCGACGCAACGCGAAGAACCUUACCAAGUCUUGACAUCCUGCGACGGACAUAGAAAUAUGUCUUUCCUUCGGGACGCAGAGACAGGUGGUGCAUGGUUGUCGUCAGCUCGUGUCGUGAGAUGUUGGGUUAAGUCCCGCAACGAGCGCAACCCUUAUGGUCAGUUACUACGCAAGAGGACUCUGGCCAGACUGCCGUUGACAAAACGGAGGAAGGUGGGGAUGACGUCAAAUCAUCAUGCCCUUUAUGACUUGGGCUACACACGUACUACAAUGGCGUUAAACAAAGAGAAGCAAGACCGCGAGGUGGAGCAAAACUCAGAAACAACGUCCCAGUUCGGACUGCAGGCUGCAACUCGCCUGCACGAAGUCGGAAUUGCUAGUAAUCGUGGAUCAGCAUGCCACGGUGAAUACGUUCCCGGGCCUUGCACACACCGCCCGUC
rnacentral:rRNA from 1 species